ensembl:lncRNA
AGGGGGUACAGGUUAGUAAUGAGACUAUAUACAGGGGGUACAGGUUAGUAAUGAGACUAUAUACAGGGGGUACAGGUUAGUAAUGAGACUAUAUACAGGGGUACAGGUUAGUAAUGAGACUAUAUACAGGGGGUACAGGUUAGUAAUGAGACUAUAUACAGGGGGUACAGGUUAGUAAUGAGACUAUAUACAGGGGUUACAGGUUAGUAAUGAGACUAUAUACAGGGGUACAGGUUAGUAAUGAGACUAUAUACAGGGGUACAGGUUAGUAAUGAGACUAUAUACAGGGGGUACAGGUUAGUAAUGAGACUAUAUACAGGGGGUACAGGUUAGUAAUGAGACUAUAUACAGGGGGUACCGGUUAGUAAUGAGACUAUAUACAGGGGGUACAGGUUAGUAAUGAGACUAUAUACAGGGGGUACAGGUUAGUAAUGAGACUAUAUACAGGGGGUACAGGUUAGUAAUGAGACUAUAUACAGGGGGUACAGGUUAGUAAUGAGACUAUAUACAGGGGGUACAGGUUAGUAAUGAGACUAUAUACAGUGGGUACAGGUUAGUAAUGAGACUAUAUACAGGGGGUACCGGUACCGAGUCAGUGUGCAGGGCUACAGGUUAGUAAUGAGACUAUAUACAGGGGGUACCGGUACCGAGUCAGUGUGCAGGGCUAUAGGUUAGUAAUGAGACUAUAUACAGGGGUACAGGUUAGUAAUGAGACUAUAUACAGGGGGUACAGGUUAGUAAUGAGACUAUAUACAGGGGUACAGGUUAGUAAUGAGACUAUAUACAGGGGGUACAGGUUAGUAAUGAGACUAUAUACAGGGGGUACAGGUUAGUAAUGAGGCUAUAUACAGGGGGUACAGGUUAGUAAUGAGGUUAUAUACAGGGGGUACAGGUUAGUAAUGAGACUAUAUACACGGGGUACAGGUUAGUAAUGAGACUAUAUACAGGGGGUACAGGUUAGUAAUGAGACUAUAUACAGGGGGUACAGGUUAGUAAUGAGACUAUAUACAGGGGGUACCGGUACAGAGUCAAUGUGUGGGGGUACAGGUUAGUAAUGAGACUAUAUACAGGGGGUACCGGUACCGAGUCAAUGUGUGGGGGUACAGGUUAGUAAUGAGACUAUAUACAGGGGGUACCGGUACCGAGUCAAUGUGCGGGGGUACAGGUUAGUAAUGAGGCUAUAUACAAGGGGUACCGGUACCGAGUCAAUGUGUGGGGGUACAGGUUAGUAAUGAGACUAUAUACAGGGGGUACCGGUACAGAGUCAAUGUGCGGGGGUACAGGUUAGUAAUGAGGCUAUAUACAGGGGGUACAGGUUAGUAAUGAGACUAUAUACAGGGGGUACCGGUACCGAGUCAAUGUGUGGGGGUACAGGUUAGUAAUGAGACUAUAUACAGGGGGUACCGGUACCGAAUCAAUGUGCGGGGGUACAGGUUAGUAAUGAGACUAUAUACAGGGGGUACCGGUACCGAGUCAAUGUGUGGGGGUACAGGUUAGUAAUGAGACUAUAUACAGGGGGUACCGGUACCGAGUCAAUGUGCGGGGGUACAGGUUAGUAAUGAGACUAUAUACAGGGGGUACCGGUACCGAGUCAAUGUGCGGGGGUACAGGUUAGUAAUGAGACUGUAUACAGGGGGUACCGGUACCGAGUCAAUGUGCGGGGGUACAGGUUAGUAAUGAGACUAUAUACAGGGGGUACCGGUACCGAGUCAAUGUGCGGGGGUACAGGUUAGUAAUGAGACUAUAUACAGGGGGUACCGGUACCGAGUCAAUGUGCGGGGGUACAGGUUAAUAAUGAGACUAUAUACAGGGGGUACCGGUACCGAGUCAAUGUGCGGGGGUACAGGUUAGUAAUGAGGAUAUAUACGGGGUAUUGGUACCGAGUCAGUGUGCGGGGGUACAGGUUAGUAAUGAGGCUAUAUACAGGGGGUAUUGGUACCGGGUCACUGUGUAGGGUUACAGCUUAGUAAUGAGGAUAUAUACAGGGGGUAUUGGUACCGGGUCAAUGUGCUGGGCUACAGGUUAGUAAUGAGGCUAUAUACAGGGAGUAUUGGUACCGGGUCAGUGUGCUGGGCUACAGGUUAGUAAUGAGGCUAUAUACAGGGAGUACCGGUACCGAGUCAAUGUGCGGGGUUACAGGUUAGUAAUGAGACUAUAUACAGGGGGUACCGGUACCGAGUCAAUGUGCGGGGGUACAGGUUAGUAAUGAGACUAUAUACAGGGGGUACCGGUACCGAGUCAAUGUGCGGGGGUACAGGUUAGUAAUGAGACUAUAUACAGGGGG